CUACACUAAUCGAGAAAGGAAGGAACAAAGAAACCAAAGAAAAAGAAACAACCAAAAUACCCUAUUUCUUUUCUUUGACCCGGAAAAAAGUUCAAAAAAAAAAAAAAAAAAAGCCAAUUUUAUCUCAGCCAGAAACCCCAAAAAAUAAAUAAAAAAAUAAUCCCAGAAACCAAAAACCAAAAAAAUCAUUAUUAUUUAUAUAUUUUUUGUGUAGAAGGGAAGGUGGUGCUGGUGCCGUCCAGUUCUUCUCCCACCCAUCCCUCUAAGCAAACCUUCCCCCCCCCCCCCCCCCCCCCGCGUAUCCUCUCUCUCUCUCUCUUCUCUUCUCUUCCUGUCUAUGCAAUUUUCCCAAUCCAAAUCUCUCAAACACCCAUCCAGUUCUUCUCCCACCCAUCCCUCUAAGCAAACCUUCCCCCCCCCCGUAUCCUCUCUCUCUCUCUCUCUCUUCUCUUCCUGUCUCUGCAAAACCCAUCUUUCAAUUUUCCCAAUCCAAAUCUCUC
rnacentral:lncRNA from 1 species